rnacentral:rRNA from 1 species
UACGUAGGGCGCAAGCGUUAUCCGGAAUUAUUGGGCGUAAAGAGCUCGUAGGCGGUUUGUCGCGUCUGCCGUGAAAGUCCGGGGCUCAACUCCGGAUCUGCGGUGGGUACGGGCAGACUAGAGUGAUGUAGGGGAGACUGGAAUUCCUGGUGUAGCGGUGGAAUGCGCAGAUAUCAGGAGGAACACCGAUGGCGAAGGCAGGUCUCUGGGCACUUACUGACGCUGAGGAGCGAAAGCGUGGGGAGCGAACAGG